rnacentral:lncRNA from 1 species
CAUAAGUCCAGCUGUCUUGUGUGGAGGAGACUUUUCUGCUUGCUUCCCUCUCUGCUUCAUGUCAGAUAGUCGCUGCCGCAUGUUGAUGGUCAUCUCUGAGCUCAGACGCCAGAUGAAGAUACAACUGUCACCAGAAACAGAGAUCAGAUGUUUGCAGUCAUUACUGAAUUUCAUCCCGGUCACAAUUUCUGAGUGCCCAUACAUGGUUGCAACACACUCGCCCGAAUAGAAAUCAAAG